UCCCCGGUGGCCCAGUCCGGUGAGGGCACCCGUAUGAUAAGCGGGCGAUCGCUGGUUCGAAUCCAGCCCGGGGGAC
rnacentral:tRNA from 1 species